AUUGAACGCUGGCGGCAGGCCUAACACAUGCAAGUCGAACGAGUGCCGGACGGGUGAGUAAUGUCUGGGAAACUGCCUGAUGGAGGGGGAUAACUACUGGAAACGGUAGCUCAUACCGCAUACCAUCGGCUUUGCCCAGAUUGGAUUAGCUAGUAGGUGGGGUAAAGGCUAACCUAGGCGACGAUCCCUAGCUGGGCUGAGAGGAUGACAAGACACAGUGGAACUGAGACACGGGCCAGACUCCUACGGGAGGCAGCAGUGGGGAAUAUUGAACAAUGGGCGCAAGCCUGAUGAAGCCAUGCCGCGUGUAUGAAGAAGGCCUUCUGGUUGUAAAGUACUUUCAGCGGGGAGGCGUUACCCGCAGAAGAGGCACCGGCUAACUCCGUGCCAGCAGCCGCGGUAAUUC
rnacentral:rRNA from 1 species